ACCUUCACAAGUGCAGUCUCAGUGCUAUGAUGGGGUCUAAAACCAGACUGAAGCGUUUCGUAAUAUGUAAUAUGUAAUAUGUACUGUAACGUCAACAGUUGGGCCUUGAGAUACUAGAAUUGGAAAAUUAUUAUUUGAGAGGUCAUGGAAAGUUAAACUUUUAUAUAAUUUCCUAUGACAAACACAUGAUUAAAAAAAUAUUUAAAAAAUAAACACAAAACCAAAAGUCCAACUGAAUUAGCAUUUUAUUGAAAGUAAUUAAAGACACAUGAAAUUCCAAAAUUAGUAAACAUUGUAAGCGUUUUUAUAUUUAUUUUAAAAUCCAGACCAUAAUUUAUUUAAUUUCAUCUACAGUUAAACCAUAUACUGUAUGCAGUGAACCAUCCAUAUCAUUCACUGGCACUUUCUUUGAUUUCAGUAUUGACCAAUGUGUGUAAUAAGAAAAAUGGAAAAAAUAAAAUAAAAACACAUUCAUACUAGGGCUAAUAACAAAACACAUGUCUAUUUUUAAUAUUUAUCCCAUGUGUUCAUUCAUGUAAAGUAUUUUUUUUUUAUUAUUGCAGUCUGGUGCAGUAAUAACUGGUGACCUAUGACCAUGAAUUCCCAGUGGAUCUCAUUGUAUAUUUCAGAGUCAUGCUGAUUGUUAGUAAGACAGACAUCAAGUGUUCCGUGGUACAUUUUUAAACACUGUAAUAGCAAGGUAUUGUCAUAUUAUUAUUAUUAUUAUUAUUAUUAAUAAUAAAUAUUAGCAAAACAAGUUGACCUAUAGAAAGUGGUACAAAGAAACAGUACAAUUGGUUCAGAAUGAAUACUGCAUUGGUUGGCACAUGCAUUGCAUAGAGUCCCUUAUAGUCAUUAGUCAUACAGAGGUCUGAUAGAGAGCCAGGUACUGCAUAGAGUCAGGUACUGCAUUAGAGCCAGGUACUGCAUAGAGCCAGGUACUGCAUAGAGCCAGGUACUGCAUAGAGCCAGGUACUGCAUAGAGCCAGGUACUGCAUAGAGUCAGGUACUGCAUUAGAGCCAGGUACUGCAUAGAGCCAGGUACUGCAUAGAGCCAGGUACUGCAUAGAGCCAGGUACUGCAUAGAGUCAGGUACUGCAUAGAGUCAGGUACUGCAUAGAGUCAGGUACUGCAUAGAGCCAGGUACUGCAUAGAGUCAGGUACUGCAUAGAGCCAGGUACUGCAUAGAGCCAGGUACUGCAUAGAGCCAGGUACUGCAUAGAGUCAGGUACUGCAUAGAGUCAGGUACUGCAUAGAGCCAGGUACUGCAUAGAGCCAGGUACUGCAUAGAGCCAGGUACUGCAUAGAGCCAGGUACUGCAUAGAGCCAGGUACUGCAUAGAGUCAGGUACUGCAUAGAGCCAGGUACUGCAUAGAGUCAGGUACUGCAUAGAGCCAGGUACUGCAUAGAGCCAGGUACUGCAUAGAGCCAGGUACUGCAUAGAGCCAGGUACUGCAUAGAGUCAGGUACUGCAUAGAGUCAGGUACUGCAUAGAGUCAGGUACUGCAUAGAGCCAGGUACUGCAUAGAGCCAGGUACUGCAUAGAGCCAGGUACUGCAUAGAGCCAGGUACUGCAUAGAGCCAGGUACUGCAUAGAGCCAGGUACUGCAUAGAGCCAGGUAC